GGAAAAAGAGGUGAAAACAGUGAUAUUGAGAUCAGUCAAAUUGCUAUCAAAGGCAUGUCUUUGCCACACACACACGAAUGCACACGCACAUACACACACACACGCACACACACACACACGCACACACACACACAGCAUAUGUUUUACUAUCCUUGUGGGGACUUAAAAUUGAUUGCCAUUCAAAAUCCUAUUUUCCCUAACCUCUAACCCUAAACCUCACCUUAAUCCUAACCCCAACCCUAACCUUAACCAUAACCCUAACCUUAAAGGGAAAUUUCAUUACUGCUCUUUUACUGUAAAUGUCCAUUAAUAUGUUAUUAACAUAUAUGUGUCAUAAAAAUCGUGAAUUUCCUCCCUAGACGCAAAUACGAGCAUUUCUGCAUCUCACUGGUAGAAAUGGGCCAUCUAAAUUUCCUGGCUGUAAGCAAACCACAAUAUUCAGAAUUCAUUGAGAUUUCAGGAUGUAGUACCGCCCUUGUCAAGGUGGAUCCAAUUGAGAAUGGGUAUCAAAAGAGAACAACUAACAUUUUGUCAUGGUGUGGUGCUCAGUACUUGGAUGUGCAAACUACAAGCAAGCACAGGCUGUUGGGGUAACAUUUCAUUGGUUACCUUACUAAGAAGUCAAGCAGAGGUUAUGAGAAUCUACCGUCUGAAGCUAAAUAAAUAUUCCUUGACCCAAGGACUGUACUUGACAUGAUACAAGAUCAACGGUGAAGUGUUCAUUAGAGAAGUCCUUAUCAACCAGUGGAACGGAAGAAGAAUUCCUCACUACCAGCAGACUGUCAGAACAUAAUUUCUAAUAGUUAUCUAUGUGGGACUGAUACCAGUGUGGAAGAGCUGGUCACUUUUAAAAGACUUGGGGAAUGAUUGCCUUGCCAAUUGGACGAUUGAAUAUUAUUGUCUUCCUCCUAAUACAGGAUGUGGUAGGAAUCGUAAGCGACAUCAUCAUUACACAUGUCAAUACUUAUUUUAUCUAACGUUGUUAGAAAUCUAUUUCUUAUAGUAACAGCAAGUAGAAUAUGCCCUUUGUGUUUUAUAGAAAUGCAAGGUGUUUAAUGUGAAUGAUUUUAUGCUUACUGCAAAUGUUUUUUAUACCGUCUAUUUUUUCAUGUUUUCUAUUGUUUCUAAAAAUACAUUUUAAGUAUAUUUAUUUUGAAAAUGUUCUAGGGGGAGUGUAAGAAUAUUUAGAAGAUAAAUACACAAUGCAGAGGACGAGAGGUCAAUAGAGUACUAACUGUCAAGAGGACUAAAAGUCAAUAGAGUACUAACGAUCAAUGGAAAUAGUGUUUUUUCUGUAAUAGGGGAUUAAUGAUCAAUGGGUCAGAUACAUGGGAGGAAUUUCAGUCCGGGACUCAUAGCUACAUGGCAAGUUCUCGUUGGUCCAAAUUGUUUAUACAUUGAGCCUGAAAUAUGCUACUUGUUAUUUGGCCAUUGUCCCAGUUAAUUGCAAGGAAUUUUAAUUGGUCAACCACAGGCUAGGGUUGGGAUAUAAAACUACAUCCUGUCCCUUUGUUCUGUGGAGAGAAUCACUGAGUAGAGAAUAACUAAGGACAGGGGAGAAUGGGGAGA
rnacentral:lncRNA from 1 species